GGUGGAAGCGUGGAAUCUCGGAUCUAAACUAAUUGUUCAGGCAUUUAUACUUUUGGGUAGUUCAGCUAGGGAAGG
rnacentral:tRNA from 1 species